GAUGAACGCUGGCGGCGUGCCUAAUACAUGCAACUCGAGCGAACGGACGAGAAGCUUGCUUCUCUGAUGUUAGCGGCGGACGGGUGAGUAACACGUGGAUAACCUACCUAUAAGACUGGGAUAACUUCGGGAAACCGGAGCUAAUACCGGAUAAUAUUUUGAACCGCAUGGUUCAAAAGUGAAAGACGGUCUUGCUGUCACUUAUAGAUGGAUCCGCGCUGCAUUAGCUAGUUGGUAAGGUAACGGCUUACCAAGGCAACGAUGCAUAGCCGACCUGAGAGGGUGAUCGGCCACACUGGAACUGAGACACGGUCCAGACUCCUACGGGAGGCAGCAGUAGGGAAUCUUCCGCAAUGGGCGAAAGCCCGACGGAGCAACGCCGCGUGAGUGAUGAAGGUCUUCGGAUCGUAAAACUCUGUUAUUAGGGAAGAACAUAUGUGUAAGUAACUGUGCACAUCUUGACGGUACCUAAUCAGAAAGCCACGGCUAACUACGUG
rnacentral:rRNA from 1 species